CCCUUAGAUGUUCUGGGCCGCACGCGCGCUACACUGUUCGACGCAGCGAGUCUUAACCUUGACCGAAAGGUUUGGGUAAUCUUCAGCAAAGUCGAACGUGAUGGGGAUCGAUCAUUGCAAUUAUUGAUCGUGAACGAGGAAUUCCUAGUAAGCGCAAGUCAUCAACUUGCGUUGAUUACGUCCCUGCCCUUUGUACACACCGCCCGUCGCUACUACCGAUUGAAUGGUUUAGUGAGGCCUUCGGAUCCGCGACUCGUUUUGUGGAGAAGUUGGACAAACCCAGUCAUUUAGAGGAAGUAAAAGUCGUAACA
rnacentral:rRNA from 1 species